AAUGAUCUUGGCUGUCCUGUUGC
rnacentral:siRNA from 1 species